ACCAAAAGCUUCAAUUUAAAUAGAAAAGCAGAUUUAUUUCGAUAGAGAUAUGCUGAAGACAAAGGCCUGAAAUAAAUGAGUAAUCGUUAACAUAAAAUAAUAGAACAUUUUAAUAAAAAUUAAUAUUUUUUCUUGAA